rnacentral:rRNA from 1 species
CCUACGGGGGGCUGCAGUAAGGAAUAUUGCGCAAUGGGCGAAAGCCUGACGCAGCGACGCCGCGUGGGGGAUGAAGGUCUUCGGAUUGUAAACCCCUUUCGGGAGGGAAGAUGGAGCGAGCAAUCGUUCGGACUGUACCUCCAGAAGCAGCCACGGCCAACUUCGUGCCAGCAGCCGCGGUCAUACGAAGGUGGCAAGCGUUGUUCGGAUUCACUGGGCGUGCAGGGUGUGUAUUCGGUUUGGUAAGUCUUAAAGCGUCGGGCCCAACCCGGAAAGAGCAGAGGGUACUGCCAGGCUAGAGGGUGGGAGAGGAGCGCGGAAUUCCAGGUGUAGCGGUGAAAUGCGUAGAGAUCGGGAGGAAGGCCGGUGGCGAAGGCGGCGCUCUGGAACAUACCUGACGCUGAGACACGAAAGCGUGGGGAGCAAACAGGAUUAGAUACCCGAGUAGUC